rnacentral:rRNA from 1 species
GAUGAACGCUGGCGGCGUGCCUAAUACAUGCAAGUCGAGCGAACGGACGAGAAGCUUGCUUCUCUGAUGUUAGCGGCGGACGGGUGAGUAACACGUGGAUAACCUACCUAUAAGACUGGGAUAACUUCGGGAAACCGUAGCUAAUACCGGAUAAUAUCUUGAACCGAAUGGUUCAAAAGUGAAAGACGGUCUUGCUGUCACUUAUAGAUGGAUCCGCGCCGCAUUAGCUAGUUGGUAAGGUAACGGCUUACCAAGGCAACGAUGCAUAGACGACCUGAGAGUGUGAUCCGCCACACUGGAGCUGAGACACGGACCAGACUCCGACGGGAGGCAGCAGUAGGGAUUCUUCCGCAAUGGGCGGAAGCCUGACGGAGCAACGCCGCGUGAGUGAUGAGGGUCUUCGGAGCGUAAAACUCUGUUAUUAGGGAAGAACAUAUGUGUAAGCAACUGUGCACAUCUUGACGGUACCUAAUCAGAAAGCCACGGCUAACUACGUG